GCGUUGCUGCGCGGUGCGACAGGAAUUCACAUAUCCCCGGGGCCUUAUCGAUCCGAACGGGGGCUGUCCCUGACUGGGCCCGUGGGCCUGGACACAUGGCUCCCACCUACACUGUAGGUUUCCCGGGAUCGAUCUUCCAACGGCCGAUGUGGGGCGCC
rnacentral:other from 1 species